rnacentral:rRNA from 1 species
ACUCCUACGGGAGGCAKCAGUAAGGAAUAUUGGUCAAUGGGCGGAAGCCUGAACCAGCCAUGCCGCGUGCAGGAUGACUGCCCUAUGGGUUGUAAACUGCUUUUGUCCAGGAAUAAACCUAAAUACGUGUAUUUASCUGAAUGUACUGGAAGAAUAAGGAUCGGCUAACUCCGUGCCAGCAGCCGCGGUAAU